AACAUAUUUAAAAUACAAAUGAAUGAUAUUUUACAAAUAUUAUACUCAACUCAUAAAAAUUAAAUGCUGAAUGAGAUUUCCAGAAUAUUUUCCAUUUCCUACGGAACAUCUUGUAUAAACAAAUUAUGUAAUUGAGCGAUCAGUAAAUCUCAGGUAUUAACAUUCUCAAUCUAAUAGUUUAACAAUUAAUAACAUAACAAAUGUAUCAUAUAAUAAAUCACUGUAGAAGAAUUAUAAUUAUAAAUAUGUAUUUUACUACAUACAAAUAAAAUCGAUUAUAAGAAUGAAUCGACAUUAAAAAUCGAGGCAGUAAUAUUUUAACGGAAAAUGUUUGUGAAAUAUUUAUAAUAUUGAUACCAGAUUCAAUGAAAAAUAACUAUAAAACCGCAUCGUGCGAUUCAAAUAGCCUCCUACAGCGAUUCAAAUAAACCAAUGAACCGAAAGCUAACAUGAAACGUUACUUUGGAAUUGCAAAUAACUUAUUCGGUAUAAUAAAAUUUGAAUCUUUAUAAUGAAUUAACGAUAAUAAUGUAUCUCUUUGAAUAACAAUCAGAGAUAGGGUAUAUAUUAAAUUUCAUAUUAAAACUUUAAAUUAAAUUAAGUAAAAUUCUAAAAAAUAAAAACGCUAUUUCGCUAGUAAUUUUAUUUCUUUUUUUUUUUUUUUUUUUUUGUUUUUUUCCUUUUUAAUAUCUUCGAGCACUUUCAUCAUGUUAAGCGAAAAAGAUUAACAUGGUAAAUGUGAUCAAACGUAAAACUUUAAUUUGAUACACGAAACCACAAUGUUACAAACAGAAUUGUCAAAAUCGAAAUACAUAUUCCGAACAUAUUUCGCCAACAUUACAGUUAAUUUUAUUAGAAUUAUUUAACAUCACGCAAGUGAUGUUAAUAAUGAAACAGGAAA